GCGAAACACACACGAACCCCGUGGCCCAGAGAGCCCCCACGCUGGGCAUUUACCCCUGGGAACGAGCGCGUGUGUUCCCCAAAGAUAUGCUCAAGAAUGUUCGCAGCACCACACAUGGUCAUAGGCUCCUGGGUACAGCUCAGAUGCUCAUCAACGGGAAAAUGAAUAAAGAAGCUCGUGGUACAUUCAGCGAAGAACCGUAUACAGCAAGGGGCAUGAAUGAGCUACAACUGCAAAGAAUAGGGAAGAAACGCACCAGAAUAAUGCUGAGCAAAAGGAGUUGAGAGCACAUAGCACGUGAUUCUAUCUCUAUAAAGUUCAAAACCAGGCAAAACGAAUCUAGGGCACGGUGCUGACCUUGGGAGGUAGUGACCGGAAGGAGCUUCUGGGCUGCCUAGAAUGUUCGGGUUUUUUAAUCAUGGUGCUAGCACAUGGGUGUGUUUGCUGUACGGAAAACUUGUUGAUUUGUGCCCUUUUCUCAGGACAUACAUUCCACUUAUGAAGGGGUUUCUCUCUCCGGACCAGGGAGAGCACUGCUCUUCACCUGCAGCCCACGAGAGGCUCCGAACUCCCGGAACCGGCCGUGUCUUCCACUGCUGCUCUACACAUCUCCCCUUCCCUCUGGCUUGUCACGCUCCACAAGGCAUCGCUCUUUGUGAAAACACCACGCAAACUCAGGUCUAACCCCUUCUUUGGGUCGUCAUUACUUUUUGAUGACAACCUCCAUGCUGUGUCCAAUUACCAACCCCAGGUGAAACAUACAUGCCUUUUCUGCGGGUCUGUCUUGUUUUUUUUUGUUGUUUGUUUGUUUUGUUUUGUUUUUAAGAUUUUAUUUAUUUAUGUAUCAGACAAGAGAUCACAAGGAGGUAGAGAGGCAGAUGGGGGGUGGGGCGGGGAGCAGGCUUCCUGCUGAGCAGAGAGCCCAAUGGGGGCUCGAUCUCAGGAUCCUGGGAUCAUGACCUGAGCUGAAGGCAGAGCCUUUAACCCACUGAGCCACCCAGGUGCCCCAUGUGGGUCUAUUUUUUGUCCAGUUGAUUCACAGGGCCCAGCCGCUCAGCCCCAGAGGGUAGAGGCUGUGGCUUCUGUCCCAAGCAGGCCCUCAGCACAGGCUCAGGGAACGAAUCCUGACUGAACACAGCAUGGGGGUAUUCUGUACUGUCCUGCCCUUCUUAGGCUUUCUAGGUCCUUCCAAUAGGAGGAUCCUAAAUGUCUUGAGGACUCGGAGGAAGGUUCUCCUGGGGUUCGUCGUGAUCUGUGCGUAAGCCAGGCACUCUGGAAACUGCCUUGGCGCUUGCUUCUGGGGGUGGUGGGAGGAAGUUUCCAUAGAAGGUUCCGGUAAGAUAGGGCUCCUUUACGUAAGUUCUCUCCGAUAGAUCAGGAGAUUGGGUAACGUGUUUAGGGGUCCAGUCUCCACAUGGGAAAAAUUGGGUUUCAAGGCAUUUGUCAGUGGGAGGUCAGGUUGGGGGGUGUGUUGACCGACAUUUUAGGCUAGGGGAAACUGAGGCAUGUGUGCGGGAGGCUCAGGGGUCUGGGAGCGAACGUCUCAGGCUGGGCCGGAGAGCCAGCUACUGAUGGAGGCGGGCUUCACAGGGCGUUCAGGGGAACCCUCAGCCCAGGGCACGCGACAUCCCCACUGG
ensembl:lincRNA